GGAGAGAGGCAAAGGAGGCCAAACCGACGUCGCCACUCCCAAAGAUUCUUGUGGAGGCUUGCUUGUGAUUAAUAAGAACAGACUGAGAGCAACAAACCCCUGUAACCAUGCCGCAGGGAGAUUAUAUAGAUCUUCACAGGAAGCGAUAUGGGUACAGACCUGAUCAUUUUGAGCGCAAGCGCAAGAAGGAAGCUCGUGAAGUCCACAAGCGCUCUGAAAUCGCGCAAAAGGCUCUGGGUAUUAAAGGCAAGAUGUUUGCCAAGAAGCGCUAUGCAGAAAAGGCUCUGAUGAAGAAAACAUUGGCUAUGCAUGAGGAGUCAUCGACUAGGCACAAGGUUGAUGAGGAUGUUCAUGAAGGAGCUGUUCCAGCAUAUCUGUUAGAUCGUGACAAUACGACACGAGCAAAGACUCUUAGCAAUUCCAUCAAGCAAAAACGGAAAGAGAAAGCUGGGAAAUGGGAAGUCCCUCUGCCUAAGGUGAGGCCUGUCGCUGAAGAUGAGAUGUUUAAAGUUCUUAGAACAGGCAAACGCAAGACUAAGCAAUGGAAGCGGAUGAUCACAAAAGCAACGUUUGUGGGACCAGGUUUUACAAGGAAACCUCCCAAAUAUGAGCGAUUUAUCCGGCCCAGUGGUUUGCCGAAUUCACCAAAGCUCAUGUGACACACCCUGAACUCAAAUGUACUUUUAACCUUGAGAUCAUUGGUGUGAAGAAAAACCCUAAUGGUCAAAUGUACACCUCUCUUGGUGUCUUGACCAAGGGAACCAUCAUUGAGGUGAAUGUAAGUGAACUUGGUCUAGUCACACCUAACGGGAAAGUGGUAUGGGGGAAAUAUGCACAGGUGACGAAUAAUCCAGAGAACGAUGGAUGCGUAAAUGGGGUUCUGCUUGUCUAAGAGGAUUAACUGUCAAGCCUGGAAGGACUUCUAAUCUUGCAUCGCAAGUCUCGUACCUUAACAUGCAGUAGCCAACUAUCCCUCACCUCAAAUUUUGGGAACCAAAACUAUGACUAAUGUGAUGUGUGGAUCGUAGAAUUUUGGCUUUCAAGAAUUGAACUAUUGGUGCAUAUUUUUGGGUAAUUUAUAAUAGACAUCUUUGUUGAACUCUAUUUCCAAACUAUUAUCAGUCCUUGGUCAUUCAUCAUUGUAUUGAAGCGGCUAUUGAUCAUUGUAAAACAAUACGCUUGAUCAUAGCUACCAUGAAUGCCAAACCAGUACUUUUGAUAUUGUG